rnacentral:misc_RNA from 1 species
UCCGGCUUAUCACCGGCAGUCCCCCUAGAGUGCCCAACUAAAUGAUGGCAACUAAGGGCGAGGGUUGCGCUCGUUGCGGGACUUAACCCAACAUCUCACGACACGAGCUGACGACAGCCAUGCAGCACCUGUCUCCGGUCCAGCCGAACUGAAGGCCCCUCUUUCAAGGGGCCGCGACCGGGAUGUCAAGGCCUGGUAAGGUUCUUCGCGUUGCGUCGAAUUAAACCACACGCUCCACCGCUUGUGCGGACCCCCGUCAAUUCCUUUGAGUUUUAGCCUUGCGGCCGUAGUCCCCAGGCGGAGUGCUUAACGUGUUAACUUCGGCACGGGAGGGGUCGAUACCCCCCAUACCUAGCACUCAUUGUUUAGGGCGUGGACUAC